rnacentral:rRNA from 1 species
AUCUAUGGCCAUACCACCCUGAACGCGCCCAAUCUCGUCUGAGCUUAGAAGCUAAGCAGGGUCGGGCCUGGUUAGUGCUUGGAUGGGAGACUGCCCAGGAAUACUGGGUGCUGUAGGCU